rnacentral:rRNA from 1 species
UACGUAGGGACCGAGCGUUGUCCGGAAUCAUUGGGCGUAAAGAGCGUGUAGGCGGCCAACUAAGUCCUGCGUGAAAUCUCGGGGCUCAACCCCGAGCGGUCGUGGGAAACUGGUUGGCUAGAGUGCGGGAGAGGAGAGUGGAAUUCCUGGUGUAGCGGUGAAAUGCGCAGAUAUCAGGAAGAACACCUGUGGCGAAGGCGGCUCUCUGGAACGCAACUGACGCUGAGACGCGAAAGCGUGGGGAGCAAACAGG